rnacentral:rRNA from 1 species
GACGAACGCUGGCGGCGUGCCUAAUACAUGCAAGUCGAACGCUGAAGAGAGGAGCUUGCUCUUCUUGGAUGAGUUGCGAACGGGUGAGUAACGCGUAGGUAACCUGCCUUGUAGCGGGGGAUAACUAUUGGAAACGAUAGCUAAUACCGCAUAACAAUGGAUGACACAUGUCAUUUAUUUGAAAGGGGCAAUUGCUCCACUACAAGAUGGACCUGCGUUGUAUUAGCUAGUAGGUGAGGUAAUGGCUCACCUAGGCGACGAUACAUAGCCGACCUGAGAGGGGGAUCGGCCACACUGGGACUGAGACACGGCCCAGACUCCUACGGGAGGCAGCAGUAGGGAAUCUUCGGCAAUGGGGGCAACCCUGACCGAGCAACGCCGCGUGAGUGAAGAAGGUUUUCGGAUCGUAAAGCUCUGUUGUAAGUCAAGAACGGGUGUGAGAGUGGAAAGUUCACACUGUGACGGUAGCUUAACAGAAAGGGACGGCUAACUACGUG